CAGCCGCCGCGGUAAUACGGAGGGUGCAAGCGUUAAUCGGAAUUACUGGGCGUAAAGCGCACGCAGGCGGUCUGACAAGUCAGAUGUGAAAUCCCCGGGCUUAACCUGGGAACUGCAUUUGAAACUGUCAGGCUGGAGUCUUGUAGAGGGGGGUGGAAUUCCAGGUGUAGCGGUGAAAUGCGUAGAGAUCUGGAGGAAUACCGGUGGCGAAGGCGGCCCCCUGGACAAAGACUGACGCUCAGGUGCGAAAGCGUGGGGAGCAAACAGGAUUAGAUACCCGCGUAGUCCCUGUCCUUAUACA
rnacentral:rRNA from 1 species